UGAUUAUUGCACAGGUGUGCCUUAGGCUGGGCACAAUAAAAGGCCACUCUAAAUGUGCAGUUUUAUCACACAGAACAAUGCCACAGAUGUUGCAAGUUUUGAGGGAGUGUGCAAUUGGCAUGCUGACUGCAGGAAUGUCCACCUGACAUAGAUAUAUCCCGGUUUUCACUGUACAGGGCAGAUGGUAGACAGCGUGUAUGGCGUUGUGUGGGUGAGCGGUUUGCUGAUGUCAACGUUGUGAGACAAGUGGCCCAUGGUACGGUUAUGGUAUGGGCAGGUGUCCGUUAUGGACAACGAACACAGCUGCAUUUUAUUGAUGGCAUUUUGAAUGCACAGAGACACUGUGAAGAGAUCCUGAUGCCCAUUGUUGUUCCAUUCAUCCACGACCAUCACCUCAUGUUGCAGCAUAAUGCACGGCCCCAUGUUGAAUGUACACAAUUCCUGGAAGCUGAAAACAUCCCAGUUCUUGCAUGGCCAGCAUACUCACUGGACAUGUCACCCAUUGAGCAUGUUUGGGAUGCUUUGGAUCGGCGUAUACGACAGCGUGAGCCAAGUCCUGCCAAUAUCCAGCAAUUUCGCACAGCCAUUGAAGUGGCGUGGAUCAACAUUCCACAGGCCACAAUAAACAACCUGUGAAGGAGAUGUGUUGCACUGCGUGAGGCAAACCAGAUACUCACCAGAUACUGAAAGGCUUUUGGACCCAACUCCCCCUCCCCCCCCGCAUUCCCCCAAUACAGUAAAACUGCACAUUUUAUAGUGGCCUUUUAUUGUGGCCAGCUUAAGGCACACCUGUGCAAUAAUCAUGCUGUCUAAUCCGCAUC